UACGUAGGGGGCAAGCGUUGUCCGGAAUCAUUGGGCGUAAAGAGCGUGUAGGCGGCCCGGUAAGUCCGCUGUGAAAGUCCAGGGCUCAACCCUGGGAUGCCGGUGGAUACUGUCGGGCUCGAGUCCGGAAGAGGAGUGUGGAAUUCCUGGUGUAGCGGUGAAAUGCGCAGAUAUCAGGAGGAACACCAAUGGCGAAGGCAGCACUCUGGGACGUGACUGACGCUGAGGCGCGAAAGCUAGGGGAGCAAACGGG
rnacentral:rRNA from 1 species